rnacentral:rRNA from 1 species
UGAAGUGACUGAGUGGCGGACGGGUGAGUAACGCGUGGGUACCUGCCUCACACAGGGGGAUAGCAGUUGGAAACGGCUGAUAAUACCGCAUAAGACCGCAUGGUAAAAACUCCGGUGGUGUGAGAUGGACCCGCGUCUGAUUAGCUUGUUGGCAGGGUAACGGCCUACCAAGGCAACGAUCAGUAGCCGGCCUGAGAGGGUGAACGGCCACAUUGGGACUGAGACACGGCCCAGACUCCUACGGGAGGCAGCAGUGGGGAAUAUUACACAAUGGGGGAAACCCUGAUGCAGCGACGCCGCGUGAAGGAAGAAGUAUCUCGGUAUGUAAACUUCUAUCAGCAGGGAAGAAUAGGACGGUACCUGACUAAGAAGCCCCGGCUAACUACGUGCCAGCAGCCGCGGUAAUACGUAGGGGGCAAGCGUUAUCCGGAUUUACUGGGUGUAAAGGGAGCGUAGACGGAUGGACAAGUCUGAUGUGAAAGGCUGGGGCUCAACCCCGGGACUGCAUUGGAAACUGCCCGUCUUGAGUGCCGGAGAGGUAAGCGGAAUUCCUAGUGUAGCGGUGAAAUGCGU